rnacentral:rRNA from 1 species
ACGCUAGCGAUAGGCUUAACACAUGCAAGUCGAGGGGCAGCAUGGUCUUAGCUUGCUAAGACUGAUGGCGACCGGCGCACGGGUGCGUAACGCGUAUGCAACUUGCCUCACAGAGGGGGAUAACCCGUCGAAAGACGGACUAAUACCGCGUACACUCCACUUUGGGCAUCCAAAGUAGAGGAAAUGAAAUUCGCUGUGAGAUAGGCAUGCGUCCCAUUAGCUAGUUGGUGAGGUAACGGCUCACCAAGGCGACGAUGGGUAGGGGAACUGAGAGGUUGAACCCCCACACUGGUACUGAGACACGGACCAGACUCCUACGGGAGGCAGCAGUGAGGAAUAUUGGUCAAUGGGCGAGAGCCUGAACCAGCCAAGUCGCGUGAAGGAUGACUGUCUUAUGGAUUGUAAACUUCUUUUAUACGGGAAUAACAAGAGCCACGUGUGGCUCCCUGCAUGUACCGUAUGAAUAAGCAUCGGCUAACUCCGUGCCAGCAGCCGCGGUAAUACGGAGGAUGCGAGCGUUAUCCGGAUUUAUUGGGUUUAAAGGGUGCGUAGGCGGCCUGUUAAGUCAGCGGUGAAAUCUAGGAGCUUAACUCCUAAAUUGCCAUUGAUACUGGCGGGCUUGAGUGUAGAUGAGGUAGGCGGAAUGCGUGGUGUAGCGGUGGAAUGCAUAGAUAUCACGCAGAACUCCGAUUGCGAAGGCAGCUUACUAAGGUACAACUGACGCUGAAGCACGAAAGCGUGGGUAUCAAACAGGAUUAGAUACCCUGGUAGUCCACGCAGUAAACGAUGAUAACUGGGCGUAUGCGAUAUACAGUAUGCUCCUAAGCGAAAGCGUUAAGUUAUCCACCUGGGGAGUACGCCGGCAACGGUGAAACUCAAAGGAAUUGACGGGGGCCCGCACAAGCGGAGGAACAUGUGGU